UCAAGAAACUUCCACAAUGGGCGAAAGCCUGAUGGAGCGACGUCGCGUGAUGGACGAAGUGCUUCGGCACGUAAACAUCUUUUAUGUGGGAUGAAAUUAUUGACAGUACCACAUGAAUAAGGGGCUCCUAACUCUGUGCCAGCAGGCGCGGUAAUACAGAGGCCCCAAGCGUUAUCCCGAAUCACUGGGCGUAAAGGGUGUCGAGGCGGUUGUAUUAGUCGUUCGUAAAAUCUACGAGCUUAACUUGUAGGCGGCGAACGAAACGGUACGACUUGAGGUUUGGAGAGGUGCGUGGAACUCACGGUGUAGGGGUGAAAUCCGUUGAUAUCGUGGGGAACACCAAAGGCGAAGGCAGCGCACUGGCCAAAAUCUGACGCUCACACACGAAAGCUAGGGUAGCGAAGAGGAUUAGAUACCCAUGUAGUCCUGAGCGGGCUGGCAAGGCGCAU
rnacentral:rRNA from 1 species